rnacentral:lncRNA from 1 species
CCUGUUCUACUUCUUCAACAUGCUUGUUAACAGCCAGAUCCACCUGCCGCCAGCCCAAACAUCGUCUGACAGCCCCAUCACUGUUAGAGAAUCUGUUAGGCUAACAUUCCCUAACAGGCACGCCUGUUAGCCGCUGUUAGACCCCCUAUGAGUUGGUAGGGUGUCCCACGCCGCCUGGCUUUGCGCAUGUGAUGAGCCACGAGCAAUUCAAUACGGUUGCGAGGAAUUUAAAUGUAGGACUAGAACUAUCUAGAACAGAAGCCGCUAGUGUUCUUGAUGUGAAUGUAAAUGUAUCUGCCCUGUUACCACAUAGCUGGUCUUGGGCUUUCUUCUCUGCCUAUCUCAGCAGACUGCUAAUCCCUAAGGCACUGAUUGGGUCGGUAACCCAUGGGUUACCCAUCGGUUACCCACCUUCAACCCCCCGUAGCCCAUUGGUAACCCCCUUGUAAGUUCCUACCCAGCAGGAGGGGUAACACGGCCCCAGGGUAACCCCCUCCGUUGCCCUGGACUAUGGACAUGGGCCUAUAGGCUACUCAUCUUAUUUGCUGCGCAUUUCGUGAAUUCAUUUUAGUACAUUUCUGUAAAUGUACAUGUUACAUAUACAUGUUGAACCUACAGUAUCCCGGUAGCUCGGGAAGCAUCGUUCGCCAAUAUGAAUUAAAGGCCUCUAACGCUGCAGGAAAAUUUUAGUAGAAGAUUUAGAACUAUGUAUGUAUUCAGUUUUAGCGUUUGUUCCUGCUUUGAGGGCAUGAAAC